rnacentral:rRNA from 1 species
GCUGACUAAACGACCAACCACAAACAUACUCUACAAAACAAACAAAUCAUUUGCCCCACCUAGUAGUUGCGAUCGAACAGUCACAGGUCACAAUAAAGUACCGCAAGGGAACCACCAAAAGCAGUAAAUAGCAAAGACUAACCCUUGUACCUUUUGCAUUAUGGUCUAGCAAGAAUACAAGGACAAGAAGAAUCACAGCCCACCACCCCGAAACCGAACGAGCUAUUUCUAAGCAGUCUAACGGACGCACCCUUCUAUGUGACAAAAUAGUGGGAAGACUUAAAAAUAGAGGUGAAACGCCUAUCGAGUCCGGAGAUAGCUGGCUACCCAGAACAGAAUCUAAGUUCUACUUUAGAUCAACACAUACCAACUAAUCCNNNNNNNNNNNNCAGCAGAGGUACAGCUCUACUGAACCAGGACACAACCUGAAUUUGCAAGAAACUACAACAUUACCCAGACCUGUAGGCCCUCAAGCAGCCACCCUAAAAAAUAUCGUCAAAGAAUUAACUUAAACAAACCCAACACCAACCAAAAACUUCAAAUUAACUAAAGGUGAAUUUACACCAGUAAAUAUCAUUAUGCUAAAACUAAUAAUAAGAUUCCCAUCUCUUAACGCACCCUCCCACUAGAAACAGAAAAACUACUAGUAAUUAACAGACCACAAAAGGCAAACAAUAAACCCAUACACACCCUCAAACUAACUGUGACCCCAACACAGGAGCGUUAAAAAGAAAGAUUAACUGUUAUAAAAGGAACUCGGCAACCAAGGACUCCAACUGUUUAACAAAAACAUAACCUUUAGCCAGACAAGUAUUAAAGGCAACGCCUGCCCAGUGAAAAUUAAACGGCCGCGGUACCCUAACCGUGCAAAGGUAGCAUAAUCAUUUGUCUAUUAAUUGUAGACCUGUAUGAAAGGCAAAAUGAGAGCCCAACUGUCUCUUAUAACAAAUCAAUUAAACUGAUCUCCUAGUACAAAAGNNNNNNNNNNNNNNNNNNNCCAGAAGACCCUGUNNNNNNNNNNNNNNNNUAUUAANNNNNNNNNNNNNNACUUUCGGUUGGGGCGACCUUGGAAUAAAAAAGAACUUCCAACAAUAUGACUUCUCAUAAAAUAGGCAGACAAGCCAACACUAGACCCAGUAUUACUGAUAAUUGAAAUAAGUUACUCCAGGGAUAACAGCGCUAUCUUCUUUAAGAGCCCAUAUCAAAAAGAAGGUUUACGACCUCGAUGUUGGAUCAGGGCACCCCAGUAAUGCACCCGUUACUAAAGGUUCGUUUGUUCAACGAUCAACAGCCCUACGUGAUCUGAGUUCAGACCGGAGCAAUCCAGGUCAGUUUCUAUCUAUGAACGCUUUACCUAGUACGAAAGGACCGGCACAGCAAAGCCAAUACAACACGCACGCUUUAACUACAAAAUAUAUCAAUAUUACUAAACGAACCCCACCUUUAAACCUAGAUAAGGUUAACUAAGGACCACCGUACCUUA